CGCGGGACCAGCUCGUCCAGAUGCUCACCCAUGCCAGGAAAGAGCCUGUGAUGCUACCCGGACUGAUUCCCAAAGCGCUUAAGACCAAUGCAGGGACUGAAGCGAAGCUCGCUCGGCAGCUGAAAGUUUGACAUAGACCGUCUGGCCUACUUUCGGAACGCCACUGUCCGACUUCAGGAGCUAAAGCCAGUGGGACCCCCGGAGGCCAGCCUGGCGGUGGAUUGGUGGGUGGUCCAGGAAUGGUGGCCCGGCUGUAACCAGGGCCGGGGCUGCAGCCGGGACCUGGAA